rnacentral:rRNA from 1 species
GAGUUUGAUCCUGGCUCAGGACGAACGCUGGCGGCGCGCCUAACACAUGCAAGUCGAACGAGAGAGAGGGAGCUUGCUUCCUCAAUCGAGUGGCGAACGGGUGAGUAACGCGUGAGGAACCUGCCUCAAAGAGGGGGACAACAGUUGGAAACGACUGCUAAUACCGCAUAAGCCCACAGCUCGGCAUCGAGCAGAGGGAAAAGGAGCAAUCCGCUUUGAGAUGGCCUCGCGUCCGAUUAGCUGGUUGGUGAGGUAACGGCCCACCAAGGCGACGAUCGGUAGCCGGACUGAGAGGUUGAACGGCCACAUUGGGACUGAGACACGGCCCAGACUCCUACGGGAGGCAGCAGUGGGGAAUAUUGCACAAUGGGGGAAACCCUGAUGCAGCGACGCCGCGUGGAGGAAGAAGGUCUUCGGAUUGUAAACUCCUGUUGUUGAGGAAGAUAAUGACGGUACUCAACAAGGAAGUGACGGCUAACUACGUGCCAGCAGCCGCGGUAAAACGUAGGUCACAAGCGUUGUCCGGAAUUACUGGGUGUAAAGGGAGCGCAGGCGGGAAGACAAGUNGGAAGUGAAAUCUAUGGGCUCAACCCAUAAACUGGCUUUCAAACUGUUUUUCUUGAGUAGUGCAGAGUAGGCGGAAUCCCCGGUGUAGCGGUGGAAUGCGUAGAUAUCGGGAGGAACACCAGUGGCGAAGGCGGCCUACUGGGCACCAACUGACGCUGAGGCUCGAAAGUGUGGGUAGCAAACAGGAUUAGAUACCCUGGUAGUCCACACCGUAAACGAUGAUUACUAGGUGUUGGAGGAUUGACCCCUUCAGUGCCGCAGUUAACACAAUAAGUAAUCCACCUGGGGAGUACGACCGCAAGGUUGAAACUCAAAGGAAUUGACGGGGGCCCGCACAAGCAGUGGAGUAUGUGGUUUAAUUCGACGCAGCGCGAAGAACCUUACCAAGUCUUGACAUCCUGCGACGGACAUAGAAAUAUGUGUUUCCUUCGGGACGCAGAGACAGGUGGUGCAUGGUUGUCGUCAGCUCGUGUCGUGAGAUGUUGGGUUAAGUCCCGCAACGAGCGCAACCCUUACUGUCAGUUACUACGCAAGAGGACUCUGGCAGGACUGCCGUUGACAAAACGGAGGAAGGUGGGGAUGACGUCAAAUCAUCAUGCCCUUUAUGACUUGGGCUACACACGUACUACAAUGGCGUUAAACAAAGAGAAGCAAGACCGCGAGGUGGAGCAAAACUCAGAAACAACGUCCCAGUUCGGACUGCAGGCUGCAACUCGCCUGCACGAAGUCGGAAUUGCUAGUAAUCGUGGAUCAGCAUGCCACGGUGAAUACGUUCCCGGGCCUUGUACACACCGCCCGUC